CAGGGAAUAUUGCGCAAUGGGCGGAAGCCUGACGCAGCGACGCCACGUGUGGGAAGGAGCGCCUAGGCGUGUAAACCACUGUCGCGGGGGAACAGAGCGCGGCUUCGGCUGCGCUGAGCGUACCCUGAGAGGAAGCGCCGGCAAACUUCGUGCCAGCAGCCGCGGUAAUACGAGGGGCGCGAGCGUUGUUCGGAAUCACUGGGCGUAAAGGGAGCGUAGGCUGCCCUGCAAGCCGGGCGUGCAACGCCGGGGCCCAACCCCGGUCUUGCGCCUGGGACUGCGGGGCUUGGAUUUUCCAGAGGCUGGCGGAAUUCCCGGCGGAGCGGUGGAAUGCGUAGAUAUCGGGAAGAACACCGGAGGCGAAGGCGGCCGGCUGGGGAAUAAUCGACGCUGCGGCUCGAAAGCGCGGGUAGCAAACAGGAUUAGAUACCCUGGUAGUCCGCGCCGUAAACGAUGCGCGCUUGGCGCCCGGGGGGCUUUCCCCUGGGUGCCGGAGCCAACGCGAUAAGCGCGCCGCCU
rnacentral:rRNA from 1 species